rnacentral:rRNA from 1 species
GAUGAACGCUAGCGGCAGGCCUAACACAUGCAAGUCGAGGAGUAGUCCAGCAAUGGAUGAGACCGGCGCACGGGUGCGUAACGCGUAUGCAACCUACCUUUUACAGGGGGAUAGCCCAGAGAAAUUUGGAUUAAUACCCCAUAGUGUAUUCGAGUGGCCUCACUUGAUUACUAAAGUUACAACGGUAAAAGAUGGGCAUG